rnacentral:lncRNA from 10 species
AGACUCGAGCAAUUUUCUCACUUCAGCCUCCUGAGUUGCUGGGACCACAGGUGCACGCACCACCCCCUGGCUUUUAUUUUUUUAUUUUUUUUAUUUUUUGGCAGAGACAGUGUCGCCUUAUGUUGCCCAGGCUGAACACCUGUGUCUCUUAACCUAAGAGCUGUCUCCAGCACAGGAUGCAAGACAGCCCCAAAAAAGUGUUAGGGACUUAAAGCCACCAGAAGCUUUUCUUAACCAAUGGAAUACAGGAGUCAAUGGGAACAUCCUGUCCAGAGGAAAGGAUAUUUAAGGAGAAAGGAAGCAGCACAAGUUCGACUCAGCCAAGAAACAGAGGAAGGACAUCCCAAGCACGAAGUGGGGCACCAGUCUGUGUUCCAGCGAGAGAUAAAAGGGAGAGACACAACUGGCUCCAGCCCUUUUCCUGCCUCUUCCUGCUUUGAAUACUCACAUGAUACCUGGAGCUGCAGCAGCCAUCUUGUUUACCAAGAAGAAAAGCCAAGAUGAUCACAGAAUAGCCAGCACUGGUAUUGUUCCGCCAGCGACAGCAGAUACUUACCUCCAGAUUUUUGGGGAAAAAAAAUGAGCUGGAGUGACUCUCUUGGUCCCUAAGGUGGAAGCCAUGUGUUGAGGACACUGAGCAACAAGAUAGGAGGAGCCUGGGGCCCAGCCAGAGAACAGGAAGCCACCCAAAUAGCUCUCAACCCCUUAUAGAUGGACUACUAAAUGGGAAAUAAAGUAGACUGUUCUCUC